AUUGAACGCUGGCGGCAUGCUUUACACAUGCAAGUCGAACGGUAACAGGCCUUCGGGUUCUGACGCUUGGCGCACGGGUGAGUAAUGCAUCGGUACGUGCCCAGCGGUGGGGGUUAACGCAGCGUAAGCUGUCCUAAUACCGCAUGUGAUCUGAGGAUGAAAGCGGGGGCCCAGGCAGCAAUGUUUGGCCUCUCGCCUUUGGAGCGGCCGAUGUCCGUUUAGUUCGUUGGUGGGUUAAAUGCCUACCCAGCCGACGAUCUGUAGCUGGUCUGAGUGGCCGACCAGCCACACGGGGAGUGAGACACGGCCCAGACGCCUGCGGGAGGCAGCAGAGGGGAAUGGUGGACAAUGGGCGCAAGCAUGGUCCAGCAAUGCGGCGGGCGAGAAGAAGGCGUUCGGGGCGUAAACCGCUUUUGUGCGGAACGAAAAGGCUCUGGCUAAGACCUGGGGUUGAUGACGGUACCGUAAGAAGAAGCACCGGCUAACUACGUG
rnacentral:rRNA from 1 species